rnacentral:lncRNA from 1 species
UCUGGGUGAUAUUUUGUCCAACGCUCGGUGUUUGCUGCUUUAGUUGCAAUGUCCACCAAUUUCGAAAUUGUACAGCUGAAUAUAGAAAUCCUGGUACCACUCACCACCGAGGACAUUUUUGUUUCUCAUGACUUUUCAUUUGUGAUUUGAUAUUAUUUGUAAGUGUACAGAGAAUUAUUCAGUGGCGGACACUGAAAUGGGAUUAAAGAGCAGUUGCUCAGAAAAAAGAUAACCCCAUGGGCCCAAAGAGCAUUAGCUGGG